CCUACGGGGGGCUGCAGUGGGGAAUAUUGGACAAUGGGCGAAAGCCUGAUCCAGCCAUGCCGCGUGUGUGAAGAAGGCCUUCGGGUUGUAAAGCACUUUCAGUGGGGAAGAAAGCCUUGGGGCUAAUACCCUCGAGGAAGGACAUCACCCACAGAAGAAGCACCGGCUAACUCCGUGCCAGCAGCCGCGGUAAUACGGAGGGUGCGAGCGUUAAUCGGAAUUACUGGGCGUAAAGAGCGCGUAGGCGGUCUGAUAAGCCGGUUGUGAAAGCCCCGGGCUCAACCUGGGAACGGCAUCCGGAACUGUCAGGCUAGAGUGCAGGAGAGGAAGGUAGAAUUCCCGGUGUAGCGGUGAAAUGCGUAGAGAUCGGGAGGAAUACCAGUGGCGAAGGCGGCCUUCUGGACUGACACUGACGCUGAGGUGCGAAAGCGUGGGUAGCAAACAGGAUUAGAUACCCUGGUAGUC
rnacentral:rRNA from 1 species